UACGAAGGGGGCGAGCGUUGUUCGGAUUUACUGGGCGUAAAGGGCGCGCAGGCGGCUCAUUUUGUCAGGCGUGAAAGCCCCGGGCUUAACCUGGGAACUGCGUUUGAGACGGAUGGGCUAGAGUUCGGGAGAGGAGAGUGGAAUUCCCAGUGUAGAGGUGAAAUUCGUAGAUAUUCGGAAGAACACCAGUGGCGAAGGCGACACACUGGCCCGUUACUGACGCUGAGGCGCGAAAGCGUGGGGAGCAAACAGG
rnacentral:rRNA from 1 species